CACGCCUAUAAAAACUGACAACCCCAUACCCUGGUGCCUUUCUCACCCUCUGAGAUGGCCCACACUCUGUCUGUGGAGUGUGUUUCUCUCUAAAUAAAUCCACUUCUUACCUACCACUUUGUCUCUCACUGAAUUCUUUCUGCGAUGAGACGUCAAGAACCUGACCUUCAUUAAGUCCUGAAACCAGGUAGAACAACUCCCACUCAUCGUCAACACAAUUGGGGACGUCUUCUGUGCCAUUUCUUUGCGACUUUUUGGACACAACACCUGGUUGGGAGACUACCUUGGAAGGGAUAUCAUCUAAAAUUUAAUCCGAGUUCUUAAAGUGAAAGUAGUUUUCCACCAGAGAAGAGAGAGAGGCCUUCCAGUCGGGGGACAGCGUGUGCGAAUUCACAGAGGAAGGAAACAGCUGACUCUGACUCAGUCCAUAAAAUAAUGAUGUGUCUUACAUACGUGGCAUUUUGGACCUGAGGAAAUACAGCCAUGCUUACCCAGUAUGAGGCACUGUCCAUUUCAAUCUCACAACGACCCUGUGAGGGACCUUGGGCCAAUCACAUUCUGAGCCACCUGUGUAACAAGGGCAAUGGCACCCACCUAAGGUGGUUGUGAGGAUUCAUCUCAAAUGAAUGAGAUGCUGCACGUAAAGCAUGGGACCCGGCACACAACAAGAACUCGAUAAAGUCUGAACAACAAAACAAUGAAAGAUAUUCAAAGUAAGGUCCCAAGGCUGGCCUUCCUGGUGAGUGUUUUUUAAUAACUCUUUUUAUAUCUUUCUCUCUUUACAUCACCACCCCCACUUCCCUGCCCAAAUGAAGUUUUUAAUGAAGAUAGCACACCACCGAGUCUCAAGUUGAGACCCGAAGUACCCAGACUUAGUGUAUCAGGUUAUAUAUCCUGUAAGAAAGACGAUUUUAUCAGGUAACCAAUGUGAAGCUCGCCCCUGCACCCCCGUCAGCUAGCAGGUUAUCUGGAAUUCAUCCUAGAUCAAUGACCUGUUGGACUCAAAGAAGCCACCCCCAAAAAAAUUGUAUAAAAAGAUUUAUUGAAAUUUAUCAAUGACAAACAGACAUAAAACUCAAAGUUUGGCUCUUCUGAGGGGGAGGAAAACCGGUGCAGAUGUUCUUUUAUACAGAUGAAA